rnacentral:rRNA from 1 species
CCAGACUCCUACGGGAGGCAGCAGUCGGGAAUAUUGCGCAAUGGAGGAAACUCUGACGCAGUGACGCCGCGUGCAGGAAGAAGGUUUUCGGAUUGUAAACUGCUUUAGACAGGGAAGAAACAAGACAGUACCUGUAGAACAAGCAUCGGCUAACUCCGUGCCAGCAGCCGCGGUAAUACGGAGGAUGCGAGCGUUAUCCGGAUUUAUUGGGUUUAAAGGGUGCGCAGGCGGCACGGCAAGCCGGCGGUCAAAUCGCGGGGCUCAACCCCGCCCAGCCGUCGGAACUGCCGGGCUAGAGUGGGCGAGAAGUGCGCGGAAUGCGUGGUGUAGCGGUGAAAUGCAUAGAUAUCACGCAGAACUCCGAUUGCGAAGGCAGCGCACCGGCGCCCUGCUGACGCUCAGGCACGAAAGCGUGGGUAUCGAACAGGAUUAGAUACCCGCGUAGAA